rnacentral:rRNA from 1 species
GUGGGGGAUAUUGCACAAUGGGGGAAACCCUGAUGCAGCAACGCCGCGUGAAGGAAGAAGGUCUUCGGAUUGUAAACUUUUGUCUUGUGGGAAGAUAAUGACGGUACCACAGGAGGAAGCUCCGGCUAACUACGUGCCAGCAGCCGCGGUAAUACGUAGGGAGCGAGCGUUGUCCGGAUUUACUGGGUGUAAAGGGUGCGUAGGCGGCUAGACAAGUCAGGUGUGAAAUACCGCAGCUCAACUGCGGGGCUGCACUUGAAACUGUAGAGCUUGAGUGAUGGAGAGGUAAGCGGAAUUCCUAGUGUAGCGGUAAAAUGCGUAGAUAUUAGGAGGAACACCAGUGGCGAAGGCGGCUUACUGGACAUUAACUGACGCUGAGGCACGAAAGCGUGGGGAGCAAACAGGAUUAGAAACCCUAGUAGUCC